GAGGAGAAGAGCUACUGGAGACAAGAAAUAUAUUGAAGUUAUAGUUGUUCUUGACAAAAGAUCGGUAAAUUUUGGAUUCUCAUCAUUUCAGGUGAUACGUUGAGAGAGUUUCAAAAAUAUUCUGCUGAUGUUAUACACGGAAGGUUAAAUUUAAGUCCAGAUAACAUGCAAUUAUUAAGUUAAUUGACUUGGCUUAAUUUUUCUUGAAUUGUUCCACUGUCAUUCAGUUUGGUUGAUUCUUGGAGUUUCGUCCAAGGUUACAUGGCUUUGUUUAUCUGGAUGGCAUUGAUUUUGAAGGAUCUUUAGUUGGAAUGGCUGGUAUAGGUGUGAUAUGCUCGGAGGGAUCUUGUGCUGUCAAUCAGGAGGUGAUUGUAAAUGUUUAAAGACUCUCUGUGUAAUGGGUGCAUAUGCUCCGUCAACACAAGUAAAAGGCUUUUUAUCCUGUGUUCAUGACACAUACAGAGAAAGAUUACAGAAAGGAUUGAUACCCUGUGUAUUUAAUUAUCCUGACCAUUUACAUGGUGGCUCAAAAUGUGGAAAUGGUUUUAUCGAGAGAGGAGAAUCAUGUGACUGUGGAACACCUGAAGAAUGUAAGGCGUCUGGAGCAGAUGCAUGCUGUUCACCAAAAACUUGUAAGUUACAAAAUACAGCACAAUGUGCAACUGGACCCUGUUGUGACAAAUGCAAGUUUAAAGCUCAAGGGAAACUUUGUCGGGAUAAACUUGACAAAGAUUGUGAUUUACCAGAAUAUUGUACUGGCAAAUCUAGCGAGACUUUAAUAAAAGGAUGAAAUAAAGACUAUAUCUGAGUUACAACCCUUUUUGCAGUGUCCAAGAAAUUUUUAUGUAAAGGAUGGUGUUUCUUGUCAUGGCAAUAAGAUGCUGUGAAAGCUCACAAUGUUUGUUUCAGACAGAAUGAAAAAUCUGCGAAUGAGUGGGGAAAUUGUGGAAAAAAUAACCGUGGUGAAUUUA